rnacentral:rRNA from 1 species
GGGUGCGAUCAUACCAUCACUAAUGCACCGGAUUCCAUUAGAACUCCGCAGUUAAGUGUGAUUGGACGAGAGCAAUACUGGGAUGGGUGACCUCCUGGGAAGUCCUCGUGUUGCACUCC